rnacentral:rRNA from 1 species
AUUGAACGCUGGCGGCAGGCCUAACACAUGCAAGUCGAACGAGUGGCGGACGGGUGAGUAAUGUCUGGGAAACUGCCUGAUGGAGGGGGAUAAUUACUGGAAACGGUAGCUAAUACCGCAUACCAUCAGAUGUGCCCAGAUGGGAUUAGCUUGUUGGUGGGGUAACGGCUCACCAAGGCGACGAUCCCUAGCUGGUCUGAGAGGAUGACCAGCCACACUGGAACGGAGACACGGUCCAGACUCAGACGGGAGGCAGCAGUGGGGAAUGUUGCACAAUGGGCGCAGGCGUAGUGCAGGCAUGCGGCGUGUAUGAAGAAGGGCUUCGGGUUGGAAAGUACUUUCAGCGGGGAGGCGGUACCCGCAGAAGAAGCACCGGCUAACUCCGUGCCAGCAGCCGCGGUAAUAC